AUGCUCACUUCGGCACCACAUUUAUUAAAAUUGCAAUGAUACAGAGAUUAGCACGGCUCCUGAGCAAGGAUGACAUGCAAUAUAAAAUUCAAAUCGAAAAAAUGUUU
rfam:Gorilla gorilla gorilla genomic chromosome, chr10, whole genome shotgun sequence